rnacentral:rRNA from 1 species
AUUGAACGCUGGCGGCAUGCUUUACACAUGCAAGUCGAACGGUAACAGGCCGCAAGGUGCUGACGAGUGGCGAACGGGUGAGUAAUGCAUCGGAACGUGCCCAGUCGUGGGGGAUAACGCAGCGAAAGCUGCGCUAAUACCGCAUACGAUCUAUGGAUGAAAGCGGGGGACCGAAAGGCCUCGCGCGAUUGGAGCGGCCGAUGUCAGAUUAGGUAGUUGGUGGGGUAAAGGCUCACCAAGCCGACGAUCUGUAGCUGGUCUGAGAGGACGACCAGCCACACUGGGACUGAGACACGGCCCAGACUCCUACGGGAGGCAGCAGUGGGGAAUUUUGGACAAUGGGCGCAAGCCUGAUCCAGCAAUGCCGCGUGCAGGAAGAAGGCCUUCGGGUUGUAAACUGCUUUUGUACGGAACGAAAAGGCUCUGGUUAAUACCUGGGGCUCAUGACGGUACCGUAAGAAUAAGCACCGGCUAACUACGUGCCAGCCGCCGCAGUAAAAC